AGGGCGAACGCUGGCGGCAGGCCUAACACAUGCAAGUCGAGCGCCCGUAGCAAUACGGGAGCGGCAGACGGGAUAGUAACACGUGGGAACGCGCCCUUCGGUUCGGAAUAACUCAGGGAAACUUGAGCUAAUACCGAAUACGCCCUUACGGGGAAAGAUUUAUUGCCGAAGGAACGGCCCGCGUCCGAUUAGCUAGUUGGUGAGGUAAUGGCUCACCAAGGCUACGAUCGGUAGCUGGUCUGAGAGGAUGACCAGCAUCACUGGGACUGAGACACGGCCCAGACUCCUACGGGAGGCAGCAGUGGGGAAUAUUGGACAAUGGCGCAAGCCUGAUCCAGCCAUGCCGCGUGGAUGAUGAAGGCCUUAGGGUUGUAAAGUCCUUUUAACGGGAAGAUAAUGAACGGUACCGUAGAAUAAGCCCCGGCUAACUUCGUGCCAGCAGCCGC
rnacentral:rRNA from 1 species